rnacentral:rRNA from 1 species
CACGGGGGGAGCAAGCGUUGUUCGGAAUUACUGGGCGUAAAGGGCGCGCAGGCGGCCUGUUAAGUCGAACGUGAAAUCCCCGGGCUCAACCCGGGAACUGCGUCCGAUACUGGCUGGCUUGAAUCCGGGAGAGGGAUGCGGAAUUCCAGGUGUAGCGGUGAGAUGCGUAGAUAUCUGGAGGAACACCGGUGGCGAAGGCGGCAUCCUGGACCGGUAUUGACGCUGAGGCGCGAAAGCCAGGGGAGCAAACGGG